GACGAAGGAUGCAAGCGUUAUCCGGAUUCAUUGGGUUUAAAGGGCGCGUAGGUGGUCUUAUAAGUCAGUGGUGAAAUCUCUGGGCUUAACCCAGAAAUUGCCAUUGAUACUGUAGGACUUGAGUAUAGUUGCCGUUGGCGGAAUAUGACAUGUAGUGGUGAAAUACAUAGAGAUGUCAUAGAACACCGAUUGCGAAGGCAGCUAACGAAACUAUAACUGACACUGAGGCUCGAAAGUGUGGGGAUCAAACAGG
rnacentral:rRNA from 1 species